rnacentral:lncRNA from 1 species
UCAAAUGAAAUGAGAAUAAUCAGUGGAAAAUGGAAAAUAUCUAUCUAUCUAUCUAUCUAUCAUCUAUCUAUCUAAUUUUCUUGCAUUUGUGGAUGUGUGGGUGAUUGGAUGCUUUCAGCAGUAUAGUGUAGGUUUCACCUAACGCUUCAGGGGCUGUUUGUGAGAAAGUGAUUAUGAAAAAUGAAAACUGAAAGACAAAAAUCAAGAUUUUUAUUGGUGUCUCAGUUAAAAACAUUUAAGUGGUUAAAAACAUUUUUAUCUUUCGUUUACAAAGGAAUGUCACUGUGGCAAUUACAGGUGGUUAAGAGAUUAACAUUCCCUGCACAUCACCACCUGUCAUGAGACACUUCCUCAUACCAAAUCAUUCAGCGAGGAGAAAGCAGAUAAAAUGUGUGUGAGUCAAAGUGAGGCUGUGUUUGGAGGUGUUUGCGCACAGAGAUGAACACAUUUACCAUGUCUCUCUCUUUGCUACUGCUGCUGCUGGUUUACAGCACGCAAGCUACUCAUUUUUAUGGGACAGUGAUGACCUAUUACCCAGGAGACACUUAUGCAGAUGGAUCAGUUAUGGCGACUAUUCGAUACAAGCUGAACUUCCACCAAUGCACAGACAGUGACACAUGGAGUUGCCUCAGUGGUGACUGUGGCUCUGGGAACAACACACUAUAUGAGGUAAAACAGGAAAGCAGUGGAGAGUGGUGUCAGAGAGAGGGAAUCAUGACUCGACGGGCUCCCAGCAAUGCUCCGUUCAAGCUUUGGUUGAAUAGUGGUAACUGGAUUAAUGGCAUUGUAAAUGGCAUUGUAUCAUGGAGAGCUGUGACUCUGGUGGAACUGAGGAACAGAUCUGACACCGGCAAAGCCAACUCGUCACCCCAGACCACCAACAUACCUGCUGUGAGAGUUCCCUCAAACUGUAAGAGAAAUUUCGUCUUGUUGGCGUUUGACCCUGAUGGAGAUGUGGUUAAGUGCAGAAAUGGAGAUGCAUUACUGUCAGAGUGUAUUCCAUGCACUCCACCAUCUGUCCUCAGCCUCUCACCAUCUUGUACUCUGUCAUUCAGACCCACCAAUAGCAGUAAUGAAGGUCCAUAUGCAGUACAGCUGGUGAUGGAGGACUUUCCCCGGCAGAACAUAACCCUGACUCAAACCAAUGGGACACAGACUAAUCUAACUACCAACAAUGCAAUCAGCAAAAUACCGGUCCAGUUUGUUAUAAGGGUGGAUCCUGCAGUGCCAUCCUGCACAGACGGACUCUAUCUGCCCAAGUUCCUGCCUCCAACUCCAGCCAACGGAGCUCAGCUAUAUACCCCUGUUGGACAAACUCUAGAAAUCAGCAUCAAAGCAGAGGCAACAAAUUCCAUGAUCUCUGAGCUGCUCUACAGUGGGCCCUACACUUUAUUUCAAAAUAAAACAGGACCAGGAGAGUUCAUCCUCACGUGGACGCCAUCUGAGAGCGAAACGGGAGAAAGCCACCCCAUCUGUUUUGUUGUCCAGGCAGUUUCUGGUAUAGCGAAGUAUCACUCUGACUUUCGAUGCGUCAUUGUGACUGUUGAAAAGGUUUAUGUCGCUGCCCUGAGUGCGAGGAUCUCUUUUUCAUUGCCUUUUACUGCAGACAACGUUAACAGUGUCAUCAUACAGAAGAUUAAAGAAGAACUGGAGAAACAAGGUCUGCCGCCAGAUGCGAGUCUACGCCUAGUGAGAGGAGACCAAAUAUAA